GCUUUGGCGUUUGGGAAUAAUUAUUUAACAGCAGCUUGUUUGCACUUUGGAACACCUCGUGCUUCCAGAGCCGGCCCAUCCUGCUGGGGAGGGGAGAGGUCCCAGCGCUGCUGUCUGGCAGACCUUGGUUUCGGUGGGCACCAGAAGCGAGGCAGAUUGCUUGCUGCUGCAACUUCACGCGUGAGCUCCAGGCUCCCCUGGUUGGAAGGUGCCAGGGAGUGAGGCGGGACUGAAGGACGUACGCCCUCUCCCGGAAUCGUCUCAGCUACAGAGAACCACCUUGCCCAAGGUCACCACCCUCUUGCCAAGGGGGUCACUUGGAUCUAAUGAUUGGUUAAUGCUGGGGGGAGGGGGUAAGUCUUGGCCCCCAGCCUCAACAGUGAUGGCGGUGGCUCCGGGGUCAUCCUAGCUUCCGAGUUUCGUCUAGGUUGAGGGCGCCAUGUUGGGACUGCAUCAGCUUCUCUCUCUGCCUGGUUCUGCUUCCUUUACUUUACCAUUUGUUGUUAGUCCAGGGCACACCCCAGUAAACUUCCUGCAUGCGAGUUCAUCUUAGACUGCUUCCCAGGGAAUCGUAUGUACAACACUCGGGAGUAGAGAGUCACUGAAACGGCCCUAGCUCUGAGAGACCCCUCCUGACCAGCCAUCACCCCUCCCGCUCUUCCUUACUCUGAUUUAUUGUCUUCGUAGAAUUUAACUCUCAGGUCUAUGGCCAUACUGCCCUGAAUGCGCCUGAUCUUGUCUGAUUUCAGAAGCUAAGCAGGGUCGUGCCCGGUUAGUACUUGGAUGGGAGAAUUUAGUGCUCGAACACUAUUGCUGUAGCUUUCUUUAAUAAAUAAAUUUGACUGCC
rnacentral:lncRNA from 1 species